GCCCUUAUAGCUCAGUGGUAGAGCGCGUCACUCGUAUCUCCUUAUGAGUUAUGACGAGGUCCAUCGUUCAAUCCGGUGUGGGGGCA